UACGAACCGUGCGAACGUUGUUCGGAAUCACUGGGCUUAAAGGGCGCGUAGGCGGUUGAUCAAGUCUGGGGUGAAAUCUUUCGGCUUAGCCGGAAAAGUGCCUUGGAUACUGAUCAGCUGGAGGGAGGUAGGGGCAGUUGGAACUUCCAGUGGAGCGGUGAAAUGUGUUGAUAUUGGAAGGAACGCCGGUGGCGAAAGCGAACUGCUGGACCUCUUCUGACGCUGAUGCGCGAAAGCUAGGGGAGCAAACGGG
rnacentral:rRNA from 1 species